AUUGAACGCUGGCGGCAGGCCUAACACAUGCAAGUCGAGCGAGCGGCGGACGGGUGAGGAAUGCCUGGGAAUUCCCCAGUCGAGGGGGAUAACAGAUGGAAACGACUGCUAAUACCGCAUACGACUGGAUUUCACAGGGGGGGUUAUCUAGUUGGUGAGGUAAUUGCUCAACAAGGCGACGAUCCCUAGCUGGUCUGAGAGGUUGAUCAGCCACACUGGAACUGAGAAAGGGUCCCGACUCCUACGGGAGGCAGCAGUGGGGAAUAUUGCACAAUGGGUGAAAUUCUGAUGCAGCCAAGCCGCGUGAGUGAAGAAGGCCUUCGGGUUGUAAAGCACUGUCCGCGAAGAGGCGUUACUCGCAGAAGAAGAACCGGCUAACUCCGUGCCAGCAGCCGCGGUAAUAC
rnacentral:rRNA from 1 species